rnacentral:lncRNA from 1 species
CUACAGCUGUAAUCCAAGUGAACCUGUGGUCUCUUUUGGAUCCUAUGAGGAUUGGAUAACCUUCCUCCCCUGCCUUCUUUGAACUCGUUUACAUGUAAUGGUGACAAGUAUUUUGAACCUCUCACGAAAAGCCGUAUGUUGUCAUAUUUCCAAGGUAGUACAAGAUGUUGGGAUGGCAAAAGUACCAACAGAUUCUUGUCUGAAGAAAAACACACAGUUGUGUAUUUCACGGUUUGGAAACAGACCCUGCCUUGUGGCAGACCUGAAGCAAGUGCCAAGCAGUGUCACAAGAAUUCCAAGGCUCCUUUCACUGCUCCAGUUGAGUGAUGACCAAAGUAAUUGUCCAAAUCAGAAGAAAUACAGGGAGCCACAAGACAGCUGGGAAGAGGAAGGAAAUGCCAGCAGAGAGUAAUGGUUGUAGUUUCACAUAGCCUGAGCUUUAAUUCCCAAUGACUUUCAGUGAAGUCUGGAUUCUUCACUGCACAGGACAUGGCUGAACAUGGAAGUCACAUUGUGAAAUAAUUUAGAUAGCUUUGAAAGUAGGAUGACAUAACACUUCAAAAGACAAAUUCCAGCAUGUUUCCUAUUGUCUUUGUUGUCUGGGACUCAAGAAUUAAACUCUGACACCAGAGUGCCAUCCAGUCAAAGCACCUGUAAAAUAAUUCAGUUACUAGUUGAACAUGAAAUCACUGAGA